AGGCAUUCCGUUUGGGUAUGGGUUGGGCACGCAACGCCGCGCGCUCCGAAGCCCGCAUCGCCCCAAGAGAAUGCGUACCCAGCACUAAAACUCCCUAGUGUCAUGGCGGCUUCCGAGUUUGUCGUUGAACCAGUGCGAAGUUCAAGAUACGUGUUUAUUUGUGGCAAGCACUCUUCCUCGCGAUAAAUCGACUCUUCAGUGACGACAGUGAUGAACACAAAUGUUCACAGGUUCAUAGAGCACCUCGUGUCAAGGACGGGUAGGUGUACUUGCUGCCAAGGACCUCAAAGGAGGAUAAGUGACAGUGGUAGAAAUGAAUCUGCACUCCAGCCAAGUGCACAACGAGCUAAGCCAGGAACAUUAUUGAAACGAACCAUAAGGUGAAAAUACUCCACGGUUUCAGUUCACUUUAACUGGAACCAUGGCUGUAUACAGCUGGGACCAAGUGGAAGCGCACAGGUUAGCAAGAUGUUCCAGUUGGUCGCAGCAAGAACCACUCCAGACUGAAAAUGAAACCAGCUGGCCUGGAAAUAGAAUCAGCUGGAAUCAUUUCUUAUAAUGAAACCAUUUGGUGUGAAUUAUUAUUAUUAUUAUUAUCCUUAUGGUCAUUCUGUUUAUCUCAAAAUACCUGUAGUGCAAGGCAAAUAAGAGAUAAGUGCUCACUGCCUUUAUGAUGGUUUUUUUUGUACAUUUGAUUCUGACAACAUCAACAGUUCAUUGUAUGCCAGAUCAUUUGGCAGCAGUGGAUGUGGCAGCGUGGCUGCUUCUAACUAUCGACUUGAAUUCUGUACAGAUCUACUGAACCUGUUGCCUCUGGCUGAUCGUCGUAUGCUGUUAGCGUGUAUUCCAGUAAUAAAUGUGUUACGUUUGGCUGCUUCGCUCUCAUGGCUGUCUUGCUGGGCUGGCUUGAACUGCACUUCUGCACCUGCGUAGUCUGCACUUCCGACGCCUAGCGGGGACAAGAGCCUACAUAAGGACGUUCUCCUGGAGGAUGGCGAUCAUUUAGCAGCAGUAGUUGUGGCAGCGUGACUGCUUCUAACUAUCGACUUGAAUUCUGUACAGGUUGGUGCUUUGCCAGUCCUUUCUCUUUUUUGUGCUCUGUCAUAGCCACUGCCGCUGCUGCCAUUUUGUGUUGUGAUUGCAUCUUGUCACUAUGCCUACGAAUGCUGAAUUGGCAAGGGAGAUAGAAGCUCUCCGUUCUGAGGUUUCAGACAUGCAAAACAGCCUUGAGGCAUUCAAUGAAAUUUAUGAAUCAGUCAAGGCAAGAAAUGAAGCUCUCGCGAAAGAAAACAAGGAGUUGAGGGAUGAAAGCAAAUCACUGAAAGAUGACUGCAGGCUGUUCUCGCAGCGUCUUUCUGACGUUAAGCAGUAUUCACAGACGAACAAUGUCGAAAUAAAAGGUAUUCCAAAGACAGAUGGCGAGAGCUGCCUCGCUGUUGUGCAGGUCAUUGGCGAAAAAGUUGGCUGUGUAAUUGCCCCAAGUGAUGUAGAUAUAGCGCACCAUGUACCGGUAAGGCAGGGCACGUAUAUUAUUGGGAAGUUCUGUUCAAGGUCGAAAAAAACAGACUUCGCUACUAAAGCAAAAAAGGCAAGACUUAAUACAACAGCUAUUGGGCUUUCAGGGCAUUCAGUUGCACCUAUCUACGUCAAUGACCACCUGACACCAGAGAAUAAGCGACUUUUUGCACAAGCCCUUGAGCUGAAAAGAGCCAAGGGAUGGAAAUUUCUCUGGACAGAUAACUGCAUUAUCAAGGCCAGGAAAUCGGAUGCUAGUCGAGCACACCACAUCACUGGCGUGGGAGAUCUUGCCAUAUUUAAAUAACUUGUGAUUGUAAGCCCCAUUUUACUAUACUAUAGUCACCGUUCAAAAUGAACGCCACCAUAUUUUCACUUGAACGCACCAAAGCACUUCUCAAGGACAAUACGUCUGCACUGUCCCUGAUUCAUUUUAACGUCAGGAGCCUUCGUAAACACUACGAUGACCUUAGCGCUUUAUUUUCAGUUGUCGAUCAUACGUUUUCACUCAUAUACUUAUCAGAAACUUGGUUGACUUCACACGACGGCGCCCUGUAUGGAAUCUCUGGCUACACAUCAGAAUAUUGCCAUCGUAAGGGUAGUCGUGGAGGCGGUUCAGCUAUUUUGGUUGAAUCUUCUGUGCCUAACCGGUGGCGACUUGAUUUGUCCUAAAGCACACCACUUUGCAAAUCCAUUUGCAUUGAAAUUGACUGUCAUUAUUUGUCGAUGACCAACCGUAACACCAUCAUUAUAUCACUUUACUGAUCCCCUUCUUCAUCAUAUUCAGAGUUUUGCGCAGAACUUGAGCUAUUGUUAAACAAACUAAUUGAAGAGAACAAGAACGUAGUUAUAUGCGGUGACAUAAACAUCAAUAUCGCUGAUCAAUAGAGCCAAUACUGUUCUGAAUACGUACGUUACUUUCUUGGUUGCGGCUUUUCGUCAGUAAUACGUACUCCAACUAGGUACGAUUCCAAUACACUGAUCGAUCACAUUUUGGUCCGUCUGUCUAUUGAUGACAUCUGAGCAGAAGUAUUGGAUUCUGCUAUUACAGAUCAAUAUCCCAUAUUUUUGUGUUUCGGUACUAAAGAGAUUCGCCGUAGUAAAAAUAAUGUGCGCACUACUUUUGAUUCAAAAACCUUUGUAGACACCAUUCGAAAGACUAACUGAAACGAAAUAUAUGACAAAAGUAACGCCGAAACUGCAUUCAACUUUUCUUCAGCUAAGGUAAGAGAAUGUAUUAGUCAGUCGUACUCUGAAACCAUAAUUUUACAAUGGUUCCGUGCACCUAGGAAUCCUUGGAUUACUAAAGCACUAAUGCAUUCUAUAAGGAAAAAGGACAAUCUUCGCAAAAAGGUCAAGGCAGAGCCAUUCAAUAAUUCACGCAAAUGUCGGCUAAAAACUUAUUCCAAUAUUCUGGGAGCUGCCAUAAAGCACGCUAAACGGGAACACUAUCAAAUUAAGAUUAGAAAUAAUAAUGGCAACACAAGGCAGAAGUGGCAAGUAAUUAAAGAAUUUCUGAACAGCAAUGAGCCUAAAUCGCACCCAACUGCUAUAUGUGUUAACGAAAACAGAUACACUGAUUAUGAUUCUGCUGGUGAGGUUUUCAGCUCUCAUUUCAGCACCCCUGUACGUACUAAUACAAACACUCAGUCAAAACUCUCACUGUCAAGUCUUCCACGUACUCCUCAAUCUUUCUUUUUGUAUCCCACGGUAGCAGAUAAAGUUAAUAAUAUCAUCUUAUCAUUAAAGAAUACUGGCCCAGGGCUUGAUCAAAUCUGCUCUUCUAAAAUUAAACUUGUAUCAAAAGAACUUUCCCCAAUCUUAGCCUAUUUAAUCAAUAAGCUUUUGCGGCUGCUGUGUUUUCUAAAGGCCUUAAAGCAGGGAAAAUUAUCCCCAUUUUUAAGAAAGGUGAUCGCGAAUGCUAUAACAACUAUCGCCUGAUUUGCAUUUUACCUUUCUUCAGUAAAGUCGUUGACAAACUAAUUUGCAACCAUUUAAUAAAAUACCUUUCUAAAUUCAAGAUAUUAUCUGAUCACCAAUUUGGCUUUCGUCCAAGUCUUUCGACUGAAGUUGCACUAAUAACUUUUACUGACAGGAUUAAAUUGACAAUUGAUGAAGGUAUUCUUUUUGGAGUGGUGUUUAUUGAUUUUACUAAAGCUUUCGAUACAAUUAACCACGCCAUCCUAUUUCAUAAGCUUGACUUUUACGGCAUAUCUGGACCACCCCUUCAGCUCAUUAAAAGGUAUCUUUGUGAUCGGACGCAGGUUGUUCAGAUAAACCAGAGUUUUUCAUCUCCAAAAACCACUAACAUUGGCAUUCCUCAAGGAUCAAUCCUGGGACCCCUCCUGUUUUUGUUAUUUAUAAAUGGCUUACCACUUCGUCUGAAUCACACUAACGCUCUUAUCUACGCUGAUGACACUACUACUUUUACCGCACACAAGGAUCCACUCAUGCUACAACAAUCACUAAACGUCGACUUAAAUAACGUUCAUUAAUGGUUUGUAUCAAAUCUGUUACUCAUCAAUCCAUCAAAGACUAAUUUCGUGGUAUUCCAUUCCCCGCAGUUGUUUCCAAACAUCGCUUCAUUAGCAGUGACACUUGAUGGACACUUCAAUUCAUGCAUGUUUAACUAAAAAAUUUUUUGGUGUGAUAUUAUAUAAACAUUUGAAAUUCAGUGAGCAUGCGCAGGUCUUAAUUCAAAAGGUGUCUUUCAGUAUUCACGUAAUCAUCAAAACACGACCUUACUUCUCCACUGAAAUCCUUUUAUCUUUAUAUUACGCAUUCAUUCAUAGUCACCUGUCAUACUGCGUAUGAUCGUGGGGAAAUACAUAUUGGUCACAUGUAAAUCGUCUAGAACGAUUACAGAAGCAAGCUUUGAGGCUCAUUACUUUCAAACCAUUUUCAUCACCAUCAGCCCCCCUUUUUAGCAAUAUGAAAAUUUUACCUCUGCAUAAACUCUUCAGCUACAAAAUUCUAAUUAUCAUGUUUCGUAUCCUUAAUAAUGAAUUAUACAUUUCCAGUUUCUCAGGAGUUACUCUUGUAAAUACUAACAACACGAGGUUUUCAGGUAACCGUAAUCUAGUUCUACCUAAAGUACGUAUCAACUAUGGUCAAAUGACGGCAAGAUUUUCAUGCAUAACACUGUGGAAAAUGCUGCCUGUUGAUCUCAAAUCAUGCUUAAUGUACUCCUUCAGUAAGCGCUUUAAGGUGUUAUUGUUAAAUGACUUAUGACUUGAAUGUUUUUUUGGGGGGGUUUCUUUGUUUCAAGCAAAUUGUCACUAUUGCUCAUAUGGCCCUACGUUUUUGCACCAUUUUCUUUUACAUAUUGCUGUGAUUUUGUCGCUGUUUGCUGACUAAAAAGCUAAUCCUCUUUUUACUUUUUGUUAGGAGGUCCCCCUGACAGUUUUUGCUUUGGGACCUCCGAUUGUUCAUUCGCCAUGCAAAAAAUGUAUUCACAAAAAUGUAUCUAUUUUUGAAUAAACAACAAACAACAAAA